rnacentral:rRNA from 1 species
AGGACGAACGCUGGCGGCGUGCUUAACACAUGCAAGUCGAGCGGUGAUCCUCCUUCGGGAGGUGAUCAGCGGCGAACGGGUGAGUAACACGUGACUAACCUACCCUUGAGUGGGGGAUAACCUAGAGAAAUCUGGGCUAAUACCGCAUAAUACCUUCGGGUCAAAGGAGCAAUUCGCUUAAGGAGGGGGUCGCGGCCGAUUAGUUAGUUGGCGGGGUAAUGGCCCACCAAGACUGUGAUCGGUAUCCGGCCUGAGAGGGCGCACGGACACACUGGAACUGAAACACGGUCCAGACUCCUACGGGAGGCAGCAGUGGGGAAUUUUGCGCAAUGGGGGAAACCCUGACGCAGCAACGCCGCGUGGAGGAUGAAGCCCCUUGGGGCGUAAACUCCUUUCGAUCGGGAAGAUAAUGACGGUACCGAGAGAAGAAGCCCCGGCUAACUUCGUGCCAGCAGCCGC